rnacentral:rRNA from 1 species
GACGAACGCUGGCGGCGUGCUUAACACAUGCAAGUCGAACGGAAAGGCUCUGCUUGCAGGGUACUCUAGUGGCGAACGGGUGAGUAACUCGUGGGUGAUCUGCCCCUUACUUUGGGAUAAGCCUCGGAAACUGGGUCUAAUACUUGCUAGAUCCAUGCUGUAGGCGUUGUGUUUGAGAGAUUAGUUUCGGUAAGCGAUGAUCUCGCGGCCUAUCAGCUUGUUGUUGGGGUAUUGGCCUAGCAAGGCGUCGACGGGCAGCCGUCCUGAGAGGGUGGACGGACAGAUUAGGACUGAGAGACAGCCCGCAGUACUGCGGGGGGGGGAAGUGGGGAAAAUUGGGCAGAGGAAGCAAGCGUGAUGCAGCGACGCUGCGGGAGGGAUGACGGCCGUCGGGUUGUAAGAUCCUUGGAGCCAGGAGGAAGCCCAUGUAGUGACGGUAGUGGUAGAAGAAGCAACGGCUAACUACGUG